CUCGAUUGUGUGUUUCGGUGAAGUUGAUGCCGGACCCUGUCGGCGCCCCAGUACGUCGCCACGUUUCAUUGACUCUGCAAAUUCGUCGAUGCUUUUGGACUCGUUUGGACGUGUUGUCGACAUCUCAUGGUUGCUGAAAAUCAUUAUGGUCCUUCUAUCUUAUGAAAGCGUCAAAUUGAGUUAUUUCAGGUUAUCGAUUGGGGAUCCACGCUCUGAAUAGGUGAUAUUGGGUGGGAGUAAUUUUUCGUAUUUAGUUGAGUUAUGAACAAUUUAGAUUUUUGUAAAUUUGAUUGAUCAAUUGUGUUAUUUUAUCGGUUAUUCAGAGGUAGAAAUUAAUUGUCUCUAAGUUUA